UACGUAGGGUGCGAGCGUUAAUCGGAAUUACUGGGCGUAAAGCGUGCGCAGGCGGCGCGUUAAGACAGGUGUGAAAGCCCCGAGCUUAACUUGGGAAUUGCGCUUGUGACUGGCGUGCUGGAGUGUGGCAGAGGGAGGUGGAAUUCCACGUGUAGCAGUGAAAUGCGUAGAGAUGUGGAGGAACACCGAUGGCGAAGGCAGCCUCCUGGGCCAGCACUGACGCUCAUGUACGAAAGCGUGGGGAGCAAACAGG
rnacentral:rRNA from 1 species